GACGAACGCUGGCGGCGUGCCUAAUACAUGCAAGUUGAGCGCUGAAGGUUGGUACUUGUACCAACUGGAUGAGCAGCGAACGGGUGAGUAACGCGUGGGGAAUCUGCCUUUGAGCGGGGGACAACAUUUGGAAACGAAUGCUAAUACCGCAUAAAAACUUUAAACACAAGUUUUAAGUUUGAAAGAUGCAAUUGCAUCACUCAAAGAUGAUCCCGCGUUGUAUUAGCUAGUUGGUGAGGUAAAGGCUCACCAAGGCGAUGAUACAUAGCCGACCUGAGAGGGUGAUCGGCCACAGUGGGACUGAGACACGGCCCAAACUCCUACGGGAGGCAGCAGUAGGGAAUCUUCGGCAAUGGACGAAAGUCUGACCGAGCAACGCCGCGUGAGUGAAGAAGGUUUUCGGAUCGGAAAACUCUGUUGGUAGAGAAGAACGUUGGUGAGAGUGGAAAGCUCAUCAAGUGACGGUAACUACCCAGAAAGGGACGGCUAACUACGUG
rnacentral:rRNA from 1 species